rnacentral:rRNA from 1 species
GCUCAGGACGAACGCUGGCGGCGUGCUUAACACAUGCAAGUCGAACGAUGAAGCCCUUCGGGGUGGAUUAGUGGCGAACGGGUGAGUAACACGUGGGCAAUCUGCCCUGCACUCUGGGACAAGCCCUGGAAACGGGGUCUAAUACCGGAUAUGACCGUCUUGGGCAUCCUUGACGGUGUAAAGCUCCGGCGGUGCAGGAUGAGCCCGCGGCCUAUCAGCUUGUUGGUGAGGUAAUGGCUCACCAAGGCGACGACGGGUAGCCGGCCUGAGAGGGCGACCGGCCACACUGGGACUGAGACACGGCCCAGACUCCUACGGGAGGCAGCAGUGGGGAAUAUUGCACAAUGGGCGAAAGCCUGAUGCAGCGACGCCGCGUGAGGGAUGACGGCCUUCGGGUUGUAAACCUCUUUCAGCAGGGAAGAAGCGAAAGUGACGGUACCUGCAGAAGAAGCGCCGGCUAACUACGUGCCAGCAGCCGCGGUAAUACGUAGGGCGCAAGCGUUGUCCGGAAUUAUUGGGCGUAAAGAGCUCGUAGGCGGCUUGUCACGUCGGUUGUGAAAGCCCGGGGCUUAACCCCGGGUCUGCAGUCGAUACGGGCAGGCUAGAGUUCGGUAGGGGAGAUCGGAAUUCCUGGUGUAGCGGUGAAAUGCGCAGAUAUCAGGAGGAACACCGGUGGCGAAGGCGGAUCUCUGGGCCGAUACUGACGCUGAGGAGCGAAAGCGUGGGGAGCGAACAGGAUUAGAUACCCUGGUAGUCCACGCCGUAAACGGUGGGCACUAGGUGUGGGCAACAUUCCACGUUGU